GUGGGGAAUCUUCCGCAAUGGACGAAAGUCUGACGGAGCAACGCCGCGUGAGUGAUGAAGGCCCUAGGGUUGUAAAGCUCUUUCACCGGUGAAGAUAAUGACGGUAACCGGAGAAGAAGCCCCGGCUAACUUCGUGCCAGCAGCCGCGGUAAUACGAAGGGGGCUAGCGUUGUUCGGAAUUACUGGGCGUAAAGCGCACGUAGGCGGACAUUUAAGUCAGGGGUGAAAUCCCGGGGCUCAACCCCGGAACUGCCUUUGAUACUGGGUGUCUGGAGUAUGGAAGAGGUAAGUGGAAUUCCGAGUGUAGAGGUGAAAUUCGUAGAUAUUCGGAGGAACACCAGUGGCGAAGGCGGCUUACUGGUCCAUUACUGACGCUGAGGUGCGAAAGCGUGGGGAGCAAACAGGAUUAGAAACCCCAGUAGUCC
rnacentral:rRNA from 1 species